rnacentral:rRNA from 1 species
GAUGAACUGUGGGUAGCGGAGAAAUUCCAAUCGAACCCGGAGAUAGCUGGUUCUCUCCGAAAUAGCUUUAGGGCUAGCCUUGAAAUAGAUUACCGGAGGUAAAGCACUGAAUUGGCUAGGGGCCGAGAGGUUACUGAACCUUAUCAAACUAAGAAUGCCGGAUAAUCGUUUUUCAGGAGUCAGACAGUGGGAGAUAAGUUUCAUUGUCAAAAGGGAAACAGCCCAGACCCACAGCUAAGGUCCCCAAGUAUAGUUAAGUGGAAAAGGAUGUGGAAUUGCACAGACAACCAGGAUGUUGGCUUAGAAGCAGCCACUCAUUAAAAGAGUGCGUAAUAGCUCACUGGUCGAGUGACUCUGCGCCGAAAAUUUAACGGGGCUAAACUAUACACCGAAGCUUGGGAUACAUCUAAUGUAUGGUAGGAGAGCGUUCUGUAUGGGGAGAAGUCGUAGCGAAAGCGGCGGUGGACUAUACAGAAGUGAGAAUGCCGGAAUAAGUAGCGAGAAUUAAGUGAGAAUCUUAAUGGCCGAAAGUCUAAGGUUUUUGGAGGAAGGUUCGUCCGCUCCAAGUAAGUCGGGAGCUAAGGUCAGGCCGAAAGGCGUAGCCGAUGCACAUACGGUUGAUAUUCCGUAACCAUCUGUAAUUUAAGCAAAGGGACACUUCAAAAGGGUGUGACCCGGGCGUUGGUUGACCCGGGCGUAAGGGACCGAAAUUAGAGUAGGGAAGCACACUUGGCUGAAGGCGAGAAAAGCUUUGCGUAUAGAAACAGAUGCCCGUACCGCAAACCGACACAGGUGGACAGGAAGAGAAUUCUAAGGCCAGCGGGAGAAGGGUAGUUAAGGAACUCGGCAAAUUGACUCCGUAACUUCGGAAUAAGGAGUGCUCGAAAGAGCCGCAGAGAAUAGGCCCAGGCGACUGUUUAGCAAAAACACAGGUCUCUGCCAAAUCGAAAGAUGAAGUAUAGGGGCUGACACCUGCCCGGUGCCGGAAGGUUAAGAGGAGGAGUGAGAGCUCCGAAUUGAAGCCCCGGUAAACGGCGGCCGUAACUAUAACGGUCCUAAGGUAGCGAAAUUCCUUGUCGGGUAAGUUCCGACCCGCACGAAUGGUGUAACGAUCUGGGCACUGUCUCAACUACCCACCCGGCGAAAUUGUAGUACCGGUGAAGAUGCCGGUUACCUGCGGCAAGACGGAAAGACCCCAUGGAGCUUUACUGUAGCCUGAUAUUGGGUUUCGGAAAUCUAUGUACAGGAUAGGCGGGAGACUGGGAAACAUGAGCGUCAGCUUGUGUGGAGUCGAUGUUGGGAUACCGCCCUUAGGUUUCUGGAAUUCUAACCUGCGGCCGUGAAACCGGUCGGGGGACAUUGUCAGGUGGGCAGUUUGACUGGGGCGGUCGCCUCCGAAAAGGUAACGGAGGCGCUCAAAGGUUAGCUCAGCACGGACGGAAACCGUGCCUCUGAGUGUAAACGCAAAAGCUAGCCUAACUGCGAGGGUGACGGCCCGAGCAGUAACGAAAGUUGGAGUUAGUGAUCCGGCGGUAUGUGAAUGGAAAUGCCGUCGCUCAACGGAUAAAAGCUACCCUGGGGAUAACAGGCUGAUCUCCCCCAAGAGUCCACAUCGACGGGGAGGUUUGGCACCUCGAUGUCGGCUCAUCACAUCCUGGGGCUGUAUUCGGUCCCAAGGGUUCGGCUGUUCGCCGAUUAAAGUGGUACGCGAGCUGGGUUCAGAACGUCGCGAGACAGUUCGGUCCCUAUCUGUCGUGGGCGCAGGAUAUUUGAGGAGCUCUGUCCUUAGUACGAGAGGACCGGGAUGGACGUACCUCUGGUGCACCAGUUGUCAUGCCAAUGGCACGGCUGGGCAGCUAUGUACGGAACGGAUAAACGCUGAAAGCAUCUAAGCGUGAAGCCGACUCCAAGAUUAGAUAUCCCAUCGUAUAACGAGUAAGACCCCUUGAAGACUACGAGGUUGAUAGGCUGCGUGUGUAAGUGCCGUGAGGCAUUCAGCUUGGCAGUACUAAUAGGUCGAGGGCUUGACCAC